GUGCGCCGACUGACUGAAUGAUCCAACCGCUUUUCUAUUACUUUUGAUAGGGUGUGCGCGUGUGUGAGCUCAUCAUCUUGUUUUUCUGUGUUUCGUGAACUUGUGGAUUAACUUUUCUCUUCGUAAUACAAGACCCCCAUCCAGCGGACACAACACACCAAACAUGUCGAAUCCGGAAGCAGGAAACUCGAAUGGUUUUCCUAAAUUACCGCCUCCACCAACGGACAGUACGCAACCAUCUGGGGCGAACGGAGCGAACAAUGCCACCAACAAUCGAUUGAAGCAAACGCAGGCCCAGGUUGACGAGGUGGUCGGCAUCAUGCGCGUGAACGUGGAGAAAGUGUUAGAACGUGACCAAAAACUUUCCGAACUGGAUCAGCGGGCCGACGCGCUACAGCACGGCGCAUCGCAAUUCGAGCAGCAAGCCGGCAAACUCAAGAGAAAACAAUGGUGGGCCAACAUGAAGAUGAUGAUCAUCAUGGGCGUGAUUGGCGUGGUGCUGCUAAUAAUUAUCAUCCUGUCCAUAAUUUAUUAAUACACUCGACAUAUUUGCAUUAUUAUACAUACUCAACUAAUCGUUCUUAAAUCACACAUUGUGUAAGCAUUUGUUCCAAACUGGGCACGAGAUCAUCACGUGCAAUUAUCAUAGUUAAAAAGGGGAACAAUUCCAAUCACGUUCGUACAUAUAUCUAUUCGACGGUGUGAUUCUGUUAGCUCUUCCGAUGUUGUAACGUGUAGUGUAGUGCUGGAGAGUGAGUGGUGAAUACUGUUUCUUUUUUCUGCUAUUAUCAUUAUCCUGUUCACAUUUCAAAUGUAUAUCUAAUGUUACAUUUUAUAUUCCCGGGGUGGCGUCCUUGUACUGCGCAAUAAUUGGUCCCCCGUUUAAAGCGAGUAAUAUCGAUCCUAGAUAAAUAUAUCAAAUUAUAGGCAGUAUGCACAAAAACACACCACCCUACACAUGCAAGUGUAACUUUUACUCUGCGAAGAGAAUGAUAGCUAAAACACAAAAUUUGAACAAAUAGAUAGUCAUAGUUCAGAUGACAAUCGUACAUCGCGGUUUAAAUGUAUUUCCAAACACUUUUGUGCUCGUUCUAGGGGUUUCGCUAUUGCUUCACAUUAUUAUGAUUUAUUUGUUUGGUUUUGUUUUUCUUGGGCAUUUGAACAGGGAAUUGCCACGUAAGGGGGGGUUUUCAAUAGCAUUUUUAAUAAAUUUAUGUUGACCAAUGUACGCACAAGCACAUUGCUUUCGGAUAUCGAACGUUUUUUCACAUCCGAAUAUAUUUGCCAUUUUUCUGCUGAAUGUAAGAAAUGUUCGCUUACAGUUGAACACAUUGAAUCAGGGUACGGGCGGCUUUUAAAUGUUUUGUGUUACGUCCUGCUAUUAUUACUAUUCGAUCAGUCUGCUAUAAUGCAAGACCUUACGGUCUAAGUUCAUCCAACCAAUUCCGGCAAGCUGUUCAUGUAAAAAUGGGUGUAAAAUAUGUAAAUAUCAUGUUAACUGGACUGGUUCGUUUUUGGCAACACAAAAAGUUUGGAUCGUUCCUGGCUCUUCUUCCAGUUCCAGUCCUUCGAUCGAAUCGCCCACAACGGUUAAGCCGGACGUAACUGACGCUACACCACCGCAAUCCUAAUGUUCUUCCCUUAUCUUUAAGCUGUGUCUGUGAAUUUAAUCAUUGAAUGCUAAUCACAAACAACCCUAAUCAUUUAUGAAUUGGCAAAAAAAGUAUAAAAAUCAAUUUCUAGAUUGGCUUGCAGCAAAAAAAAAAAA